GUCUUGGGACAGGAAGUGAUGGUUAAUGAAGGCUCUGGUCACAAGAAUAAAGGUCGGAGGGACAAGAAAGGAUGUUUAACAGAAUCAGCAUUAAUGAAGCACUUUCAGUUGUCAGGCUUCUUAAGACACCCAUGGUGAAGACUUUUGAGUGCCGCCUCAUGGUGGAGCUGAGUGCUUCCUGCUGGGACUGUGGGAUCUUCCUGGGAUGCCAGGGUGGCACAGCAAGCCAUGGUGCUCUGGAGGCUGUCACUAAAUCUGUGUGUAGCUUAGAAGGUAAAACUGUGUCUUUCCAGUAGUAUGGAGCAGAGCCUCAGGACGAGGAGAUGGUCCUAUCAGAACUUGAUGCUGGGGCCGGCGCUGUGGCACAGCAGGAUAAAGUGUUGGCCUGCAGUACUGGCAUCCCAUAUGGGUGCUGGUUCAUGUCCCGGCUGCUCCACUUCUGAGCCAGCUCUCUGCUAAGCCCUGGGAAAGCAGUAGAAGAUGACCUGAGUCUUUGGGGUCCUGCACCCGUGUGGGAGACCUAGAAGAAAAUUCUGGCUCCUGGCUUUGGAUCAGCUCAGCACUGGCCAUUGGCAGUCAUUUGGGGAGUGAACAAGCUGUUGGAAGACCUCUCUGUCUCUGUCUCUGUCUCUCUAACUCUUUCAAAUAAGUAAAAUAAAUCUUUUUUAAAAAAGAACUUAAUGCUAAUGUGUGCAUUUGUUCUAACUUGGAAAGGAAAUCUCAUUCCUCUGCUUCAAGUCACCUUGCAAUUCAGGAAGGGCAGCAUUUUUUUGCGUUAGGCUUCUUGCGUCUUCUCUGCUGGCUUCUCCCUUGUAAAUUAUCAUGUAGCAUCAUCCUUUGCUCUGGUAGGAUUCAUUUUUAAAACCGUGCUUUUUCUUUUCUUCAUCAGAAUAGUUCAGAAAGUUAAUGGGAAAUGGAAUCAAAAGAUACCUUUAUUUUAGUGUAAAAUUUUUUUAAGCCCAUGCAUAUUUUUUGUAAUACGUAUGUUUUAUAUAAUGUUUGAAGAUCCCUCAUGUAUCAUAACAAGUCUUUACAAAUUUUGGUCAUUGUCUUGGUCCUUUAGUUAUUAGGAAUAAAUUAUUUUGUUAGGUUGAAAUUAGCCUAUUUGAAUUAGUGCCGGAUCUCAUUUGCUGUGACAUAAAGAAUUGCUUUAUGGAUAAUGAAAGCACCUUAAUGAUGUGGUCUAAAGGAGAAAACAAUAUUACUCAAGCUAUUAACACCAGGGGACUUCUCCCUGACCUCUUAACAGUGCCCUGCAAACUGUACAUUAUUGUACUCUUGAGGAUCCAGGGGCUGAAGUCUGGCCUGAAGGUAUUUUAGAGAAUGCUCCAUGUGGGAAAGUCAUAAGAAAACCAGUAGCAGUUAAUGAGAAGGCAGAAGAGACUUCUAGAAUUGAACUGACCACAAGGUUUGCUGGGAUUUUUUGAGCAGCACAGCAAGCACUAGGUUGUCUGUGUUGGGCACCAGAUACAAUCACUACAGCCUUGUGAAAUUAGAAACUAUGCCUUUCUGGCCGGCGCCGCGGCUCACUAGGCUAAUCCUCCGCCUAGCGGUGCCGGCACACCGGGUUCUAGUCCCGGUUGGGGCGCCGGAUUCUGUCCCGGUUGCCCCUCUUCCAGGCCAGCUGUCUGCUGUGGCCAGGGAGUGCAGUGGAGGAUGGCCCAGGUGCUUGGGCCCUGCACCUCAUGGGAGACCAGGAGAAGCACCUGGCUCCUGGCUCCUGCCAUCGGAUCAGCGCGGUGCGCCGGCCACAGCGCGCCAGCCGCGGCGGCCAUUGGAGGGUGAACCAACGGCAAAAGGAAGACCUUUCUCUCUGUCUCUCUGUCUCUCUCUCACUAUCCACUCUGCCUGUCAAAAAAAAAAAAAAAAGAAAAAGAAACUAUGCCGUUCUGCAGAAUUGUGUUUGAGAGACUCAGCCUACAAGGAAUGAAGGUGAGACAGAGCAUCUCUGACCUUAACAGAGGCAGUGUGAUUGGUCAUUCUUUACUUUCCCUUUAUAUUGCUAUAGCAACUUUAAAAUGCCUUUUGUUUAAAAACCUGAGGGAAUGUAUGUGAAAAGUCAUUUUGGCAAUCUUUGGUCAUCAGUAAAUUCACCAUCUUACGUGUGUUAUAACUUACUGAACCCGUGGUACUAGGAACUUGAUAGACUUGCAGCAUUAGACUACAAUUUUCUGCUUGCUCAAAACUGAGGGAGUUGGAGCUUACCCAGCAUAAUUAGAAAUGUACCCUCUAUUUGAAGCCUUGGCAAGAACAAUAAUUUAGUAUCGUGGCUGUGUGGCACUGGUAGAAUGUGUUGUUCAGUCCUGAGUUUGGGCACCUUGUUUGUUUAUGACAGAAAACAGCUUUCAGAAACUUCCUGGUGGAUAAAAUACUCUUUUCACAAUCUGGUGGUUUCACUGCUUUUUUUCUAAAGGUUUAAUUUUCCCUUCGAGUGCAGGCAUGUUCAUUUUAUCAAAGCUGGCAUUUUCUCUUCUUUAAAAAUUAAAGUCUUGAGUAUUCUGAAGAAAAUUUCGCAACCAUUAGGGUAUAUAAGUGUGUGUCGUGUGAGCAUAAUUACAAGGAUGAAAUGCUUUGCUUUUGAGUAGUAGUGGACCAACACUUGGUGUGCUAAGCAACAUAGUUUUUAUUCUAUUUUGUGGUUCAAAGGCUGCUUACUACUGCUCCUGAUCUUAGAUUAUCUUAGUCCUUUUUGUCAAAUGGAUUUAGAGCGCACAGCACCUUUUUAUCCACCUUCUCUCUGAAAAGCAGUGGGAGAUAGAGCAACUUUUUUAAAGAUUUAUUUAUUUAUUUGCGAGGUAGAGUUACAGAGAGAGAGGUUUUCCGUCCAAUGGUUCACUCCCCAAAUGGUUGCAAUGGCCAGAGGCGAACCGAUUCAAAAGCUGGAGCCAGGAGCUUCUUUGAGGUCCCCUACAUGGUUUCAGGGGCCCAAGAAGUGAGGCUAUCUUCUGCUGCUUUUCCAGGCUAUAAGCAGAAAGCUAGAUUGGAAGAGUAGCAUCGGGGGCACGAACCGCACCCAUGAGGGAUGUUGGCGCUGCCGGAGGGAUGCUUUACCUACUUUACCACGGCGUUGGCCCACAGAGCAAAUUUUUAAGCCAAGAGCCAGGAGCCCAAGAGCUGGGCCAUCCUCCGCUGCUUUCCCAGGCACAUUAGCAGGGAGCUGGAUUGGAAUCCGAGUACCAGAACUCGAACUGCUGCCUAUAUGGGAUGCUGGCACCGCAGGAGUCACCACUACACCACAGUGUUGUGGUGCAGUGGGUUAAGCCAUCACCUGUAAUGCCAGCAUCCCACCCUUGUUUUCUUUCUGUAAUCUAGUAGUUGAAAAACAGCCACCACUCCCAAUGCAUGAGUCCUAUAAAAGCAAUUUCACUUUAUUUGAACACUCUAAGGAGAAAAAGCAGAAGAGUAUGUAUUGUACCUAAAGAGAAAAACUCUGUCAAAUUUUAAAUCGAAUGGUGGAAUAAAUUCCAUGACAAAAGUGAAGCAAACAAUUGACCUGUGGCCCCACUGCGCUGGCGCCUGGCUUCACUGCCUACUGGGGACAGACAGCAGGAGCCCAGGAGAAGCCUGGAGCCACACCCCUGCGUGGGCUUGGUCUUUGUUUUUUGAUUGGUUGGAGCCUGCAGGUAAUCUGACCAGAAAUGAUGUAUGCUAUUAAAUACCAAGUUUAUAAAAGGGGUGCUCAGUGCUGCUGUUUCUCGUUUCUCUUCUUGGUGUCCAGCGCCGUGGAGUUCUUCAUUGGAGCAUGUGCUAAGCCCUGGCCCUAAGAACAAGGAGGUGAGCAGCCGAGAGCAACACCUACAGGAAGGGCCGGGCUGCCGGUGUCGGAGGAGUGGCAGUGGAUUCAACAGGACCCUCAGGUUUGUCCAUUCUCGCCUGGUGAGUCUUCUUGAAAUGUUUGUGCGUAUCAUAUGCCGGUCCUGGACACAGGCAGGGGACACGUGGGCCUUCAGGAGCCAGGGGGAGGGAAGAAUAAAUUGUAUGUUAUAAAUUGAAUACUGUAUUUUAUAUGAUAACCUUUUAUUAUAUAUUAUAAAUUUCAUAUCAUAUGUUCUAAAUAGAUUUUAAAUUGUAUAUUGUAAACCGUAUAUGUGCUCGGAGGUAUCACAGACAGUUCCAGGAGGUGUGAGCCUACCUGGCUGAAUUCUGAUGCCAGGAUGGGUGAACCAGCAGGUGCCCGCAGGUGAGUCAUCUUCUUAUAGGUGGGCAAUUAAGAUGCCCAGCAACUGUGUUGAUUUCCAGGUCUCUUGUUUUAUUUUCUGGAUUUAUAGUUCUACUUAGUGGAUAGGAGCUGAGAAAGUGGAUCUGGUCAUCCAGGAAGGAAGUUCCUGCUCACAGGCUUUGCUUCCUGUUUUUCCUAAUUUGCUAAGAUAGUUUCUCUCAGUUUGCAUUGAAGGUUCUCCAACACAGCAGUAAUAACUUUGACUGCUAAACCCAAAAAGAUGGUUGUACAUUGUUGUCAUCGCCCCACUGAAUUCUAAUUCUGCCUCUGUGAUAUCCAGUGUUUCCCUAAUUUUAUGAAAAAGUUCCUGAGGAAUACAUUGUUGUAUUGUGUUAAUGAGUGUGGUUAUCUGGGAAGACAUAUCAUGUAAAAUUUACAUAUCCCAGUCAUACUAUUGCAUUAACUAGGAAUAUGGGGACUCCGUUUAUCAUCAGAGGAUGGCACCGAAAUUUUGAGAGGGUAGCAUUACUUCCUAAGUAUAUUUGUUUCAGGUAUAAAACUAUAAGGUUCUGAAUAACUCAAUACAGGUUCUUUUUACUUCUAAAUUCGAUUUUGAAAUUCUGAAAUCAUUCGGAUUAUGAUAUUUGUAGACCAUUUUUAGGUCUGAGAAGGCAGGGGCAUUGUUUCUGGGCAGUAUCCACUCUGGUUGCCGUGUAAUUGGUUCUAAACCAUCGGUUGGUGAAUUGAAAUCCCUGUUUGUCCUGUGUUUUAAACAACACAAAAUUUCAAAAUCCGUAGGUAUUGUGUUUUGUGGUUUGGUUCUUACAGUAUGUGGUGAAUUAAGUCUCCCUUCCUUCUGGUUAGCAGAUACUUGUGUUGAUAUCCCAGGAUCAUUCCUUGAUCCUCAUCUUAUGAGAUGCUGACCAGUGACUACUCCGAAACAGCUCCUUGGUGCACGUCCUCGUGGAUGUUCCAGUUUCCUCAUUAUCCACUCUUGGUGUUCCUGUUAGUGCUGAUUGUUCAAAUCCAGAAGUUGAAAUGACCCCAUGUUCAGUCUAUGUGUUUGUUCUCACUGGUCUUCUCAUCCUAGGCAGCCUUAUCUCUGUACCGUGUUUCAGGAAGGUCUUGGCUCUUUCUCUCAUUGUUAGCUUGACCUAUUUAUAUUGCCCAUGGUUUUCUCGUGUUGGCUAUUUUCAAACUUGAUUCCUUGAUUCCAUAAUUUGCCCUCACACACAACAAACCAAGAAAAAUCUGUUCUUUUGUUUUCUCAUGCUCCCAGUCCACAGAUGUUCUCUGACAACAAUCACCAGGCAUCUCAAAGGCUGUCUGGUCCCUACACCCUUCUCAAAGCCACAUGAAUAUGUGAUUCUUUUGCUUUUCACUUUUGCGUCUCAGUUCUGUCACCUUUUCCACAAACCUCUGUUCCUGUGACUACCAUGAAACUUUAGCAUCUCCCACAAAAAGCCUAGGCUAGCAACUACUAGUGCACUACUAAUAAGAAGUUAAAAUAUAGAAACUUUGUGAGGAAAUUCCAAAAUUAGAGUGGUUUAUGCCAAACAUCUUAAGAUGCUUUUCCUCUGCUUAACUAAAGUCAUAUCUAUGGGGGAAAACUAGGUGAAGAGUUUUCUACAAACAAUGCCUUUGUUACCUCUAUACAAUUGUGUUUGUGAGUUAUGUAGGCCUCUAUAAUUACGUAUGGGGAAACUAAAACUGUGACUUGCAGUUCAGUAUUGCAAAUAUUAUAAAGCUUUCUACUGAAGUGCUGUAGUGAGAGAACAGGCAUGGAGUCCAGGAAAUCCUUCAAUGAAUUGGUAUAUGUGUAGUUUUCAGAGUGCUGCUUUCAAAGACAUUUAAACCUUGUAAACAUUUUCAUACAUAUGAUGUUAAAUUUAAAAGUACUGCCUCAGCAAACACUGAGCUCUAUGUGAUUGAUAACUCCUCCUACACUAAUGGAUCACCUUGCUUGAUUUCCCCACCUGAUUACUAUGGAAGAUGACAUGUGAGUGUCAAAUGGGGAAAGAAAGGUUUUUCUUAAAGAUUUAUUUAUUUGAAAGGCAGAGCUACAGAGAGGCAGGGGCAGAGAGAGAAAAAGAGAGAGGUCUUCGAUCUGCUGGUUCACUCCCCAUAGGGCCGCAAUGGCUGGAGCUGAGCUGAUAUGUAGCCAGGAGCCCGGAGCUGCUUCUGGGUCUCUCUGUGGGUGCAGGAGCCCAAGCACUUUGGCCAUCUUCCACUUUCCUAGGCUAUAUCACAGAGCUGGAUCAGAAGUGGAGCAGUGGGGACUCAAACCAGUGCUCUUAUGAGAUGCCGGCACUACAGGCAGAAGCUUUUCCUGCUAUGCCGCAGUGCCGUCCCCAAGAGAUAUUCUUGUAGUAGACUAAUGUUCAUGGUGUAUAGCCCUCUGCUCUGUGCAGGUAGAAUUUGAGUAAUUCUUGGCAGACCCUAAAUUUUUGAGGUACAUAGAGAUAAUAUGAUAAAUGUAAUGGGACCCACAGUUUUCUGGUAAAAUACUUCAUGAUAUCUACUGGGGUCCUGCCAUUUAUGAAAAUAGGUUCUAAAGCAACCUGAUCAGUGAAGACGUUGCCACCUAUUGAUCCAGUGAAGCAAGUGCAGCGUGAGCACCUCUGACCCUGGCAGAGGCUGCAGCCCCUGGUGACUAAGAUGCCGUAGGCCUGUACUGCUACUCAUUCCACGGGGAAGGCCCUGCCAUACUGCUGUGAGCAUCCUGGUUUAAUAUUUUGGUAUUGCCAUGUUUUGCUUUGUUCUUCAACUUAAAUACAUGAUAUCUCCAUUUGGUUCGUUUAUUUCCUCUUGCAGUUUUCACAGCUAAAUUUCUUUUUUUAAUAAUUUUUAUUUAUACAGAGGUGAACAGAUAUCAUGUGUUUCAUAGACACAGAUUGAGGAGUAUAGUGAUACUUCACCUUUCCCUCCUCUCCCCAGCAUGCUGCCCUCCUCCCUCCUUCCUUUCCUGUGAUUACAAAAUAAGCUGAAAGAAUGUCAUUGUGAAAACUAUAGGAAAGUGUAAAUUCUAAAACUUGACAGAACUAACUCCAUAAGGUGUAGCUCCUGGUAGGAACUGAAAAAUGCAGAUUGGGCUGUUUAAAAAUUGUCAUGCAUUUAAAUAUGGAAACCCUAGGAAUUUAGAUUGAGUUUAGGUGAAAAACUACCAUGGUGCCUCCCCAAAGGUGUGUUCUCAAAACAUAAUGUGCCCACAACCAACUAUUGCUUUGAACCAAGGGCCAUUGUGGUCACCAGUGAUGGGAAAUGGAAGGCAUUUUAGGGCAGUGAGCCUGAGGACUGUGACCAAGACCUGUCCCGGUGAGUCAGUGAGAGAUCAAACUAUGCAUGAGCCCCCUGGCUCCAAGCCCCAGCACUUGCCCCAUCUUCCUAUCAGCCUUCAUUUACAAAGUACAAAUUCAAGUGAAAUCCAGCAAGAAUUUGGACAGCAGAGAGCGUACUCUUUUUCGUUGGGUCCAGUUGCCAUGUCACUGGUGACAUGCUGAUGAAGCAGGCCCUGCCUUUUCAGUUCCAUGGUUUAAUUGGGCGAAUUCUCAACCUGCUUGUAAUAUGUAACUGUGUUACAUGCAUAUAGGAAUGUACACCCAUCGGUGGGAGAAUACCAUAUGGUAAUUUAUAAUUCUAAUUUCACUUCUCACUUUCCUGGUUUCCUUCAGAUAUACUAACUUUUAUUUUCUAUUUCUGAGUUUUCAGUCUGAGGGAGGUGAGGUGACAGUGUAAUGUGUUACUUGGAUAUUGUCUUAAAUAUUCUCUUGAUAGAAAUCCUGAAUCUUUAUUUUCAAGAUAUAAACCGCCUGAAAUUUAGUUUAGUCAAGUUCAUGAAUGUUUUUCUUAAGAUUUAUUUAUUUGAAAGUCAGAGUUACACAGAGAGAGAAGGAGAGGCGGAGGGAGAGAGAGAGGUCUUUCAUCUGCUGGAUCACUCCCCAGUUGGCCGCAAUGGCCAGAACUCUGCUGAUCCGCAGCCAGGAGCCAAGAGGUUCUUCCAAGUCUCCCACGUGGGUGCGAGGGCCCAAGGACUUGGGCCAUCCUUUACUGCUUUCCCAGUCCAUAGCAGAAAGCUGGAUUGGAAGUGGAGCAGCCGGGACUUGAACCGAUGCCCAUAUGGGAUACCGGCACUGCAUUUGGUGGCCUCACCUACUACGCCACAGUGCCAGCCAGCCCCAAUCAUGAAUGUUUUAAAACUCAUUUCUUUCCCAUGAAGCCUACCAAAACCCCACAAUAUUAACCUAAGUUCCUUAAUUUUUAUUUGCAUUUUAAGUAUAGGAACCUAUUUUUGCAUGUUUUAUUUUUCCAGCCUUAUUACAAUACAACCGAGAAACAAAAAUUGUAUAUAUUCAAGGCAUGCAAUGUGUGUUUCGAUAUGAGUCUGAUCUUUACAUUGCAUUUUCACACAAACUUUUCGACUCUCCUGGUACUUACCAUACACUAUGAAAGGGGUAGUGCAAUGAAGCUACUUAACAAAGUUAUCACUCCUAUAGUGUUUUUAAAAUUUUUAAAUUUUAUUUAUGUAUGUAUUUUCCCAGAAGAUUUAUUUGAAAGGCAGGGUUCAGUGCCAUGGCUCACUUGGUUAAUCCUCUGCCUGCAGUGCCGGCAUCCCAUAUGGGUGCCGGGUUCGAGUCCCGGUUGCUCCUCUUCCAGUCCAGCUCUCUGCUGUGGCCCGGGAUGGUGGAGGAUGGCCCAAGUGCCUGGGCACCUGAACCCACGUGGGAGACCAGGAGGAAGGACCUGACUCCUGGCUUUGGCUCAGUGCAGCGCCAGCUCUAGGGGCCAUUUGGGGAGUGAACCAACAGAAGAAAGACCUUUCUCUCUGUCUCUCUCUCACUGUAUAACUCUACCUGUCAAAAAAAAAAAAAAAAGAAAGGCAGGCAGCAGGGAAAGAGAGUAAGAUAGAGUGAGAGAGAGGAUGAGGGAUAUCUCAUCUCAUGCAUUAUUUCACUCCUCAAAUGUCUUCAGUGGCAGGGCUGGACCCCAGGUCUCCCACUUUGGCACAGUGGCCCAAGCCGUUGGGACAUCUUCUAGUGCUUCGCCAGGCACAUUAGCAGGGAGGUGAAUGGGAAGUGGAGCAGCUGGGACUCGGUCUGGUGCCCAUAGGGGAUGCUGGCCGUCUAGGUGGAGGCUCAAGCUUUUACACCCCAGCUCCAGCACCAUAACCAUAUAUUUGUAUCUUGUGACUAACAUCUCUUCAUUUUUCCUGCUCUCUGACUGUGUUAGUUUGACUUUUGUGUAUUCCACAUGUAAGUGUGCUCAUGUAGUAUUUCUUAUUUCUGUGUCUUGUUUCACUCAUUGUAAUGUCCUGUAGUUCCAUACUUUUGGAUCCAUCUCGUGACAAGCAGUAGUAUUUCCUUUGUUUUUAAGGUUUGGCGAGGAUUCCACUGUGUGUGUAUCCCAGUUUUCCUUAUGGGUCCAUCAACAAAGAUUUGGGUUAUUUCCAUAUCGUGGAAUUGUGAAUGAUGCUGAAGUGAAUGUGGGGGUGCAGACAGUUCUCUGAGAUGGUGGUUUUCUUUUGGAUUCAUGGCUAAUAAAGGUUGUUCCUUUUUUAAUUUCAUUUGAGGAACUUCCAUAUUGCUUUUCAUAAUGGCUGGCACAAUUUACAUUCCCUCCACUAGUGUGUGUUCUGUUUACUCUACAUUGUGCCCGAUACUUGUUAUCUUUUAACUUUUUAAUAGUAGCCAUUUAACAGAUAUAAUAACCAUUGUCAUCUUGAUUUGCAUUUUGCUGAUGAUAGCAAUGUUCAGAACUUUUUCACAUACCCUCAGGGUACAUUGUAUGUCUUUGUUGGAAAACAUUGAUUCAGUCCUUUGUCCUUUUUAAAUUGUAUUCUUUGCUGCUUAGUGGUAUGCCUUCCUUGUAUUAUUCCCUUGAUCACACAUCCAGUUUGCUAAUAUUUCCUCCUAUCCAUUGGUGUGCCUUUUCAUUUCACUGAUCUUUGCUUUACUAGUUUGUUGGGGUUUCAUUUCCUUACAUUUGCUUUUGCUCUCUGUGCUUUAGUUGUUAGCACAUAAGCAACCACUCUUGAGGCUGAUGUCAAGGACUUUUCUACUUUAUAAGUUGUAAGUGUUCAGAUCUUCUGUAUGGACUUUCAGUUCAUUUUGAGCUGAUUUUAAUAUGUGGUGUAACAGUGAUACAGUUUCAGUUUUGGACAUGUGGUUAUCCAGGUUGCUUCUGCCUCAGAUGUGGGCCUUUACGUCCAGUGACUGCAUGUUUGGUAACCCUGGUGGGCCAGGGUCCCCAGUGUCUUCAGUUGGAUCCAUUAAACCAGAUGCUGUGGCUGGAGUUGGGCAGGAGCUUGGCAUGUGUAGUGAUUUGGGAGUAGGAGACCAUGCAGUGAUGGGGUCAAGACAGGGGACUGUGGCCUCUUCCUCUGGAAGCCAGGGCUAUAUGAGGGUGUGUCAGACAGUUUUUUGAAGGGUAGACAUUUGGCAUGGUGGGAAAGACAAUGCUCAGGAUACCAGUGGCAGCCAGUGAUGGCUUAAGUAGUUGGAUUCUUGCUACCACAUUGGAGACCAUCUUCCAGCUUCAGCCUGGGUCAGAUCAGCCCUGAGUAUUUUGGACAUUUGGGUAAUGAACUACUAGAUGGGUGGUAUCUUCUCUCUCUCUCUCUCUCUCUCUCUCUCUCUCUCUCUCUCUCUCCUCCCCCCUCCCCCUUAUUGUUUCUCCGUGUUUUGCUUUUGAAACCAAUUGCAAUAUUAAAACUAGGUGGAAAAAAUGGUUUACGGAUGAUUAUCCCAGUAGCCUUAGAUUACUGAGUCAUUUCCUAGGAUCAUGCACGGGGAUGUGUGUAGCUCACAGUAAUCUGUUAUCUUUUAUUAGAAAAUGAAAUAAAGGAGCCCAAGGCUCUGUCCAUAAAAUAAUGCCAAAGAUUAAUGUAGAUUUGAUCAGUACAAAUUUUAUAUGAGUAUUGAAAUGUCACACUAGCCCAUAAAUAUGUACAACUCUUGUGGAUGAAAUUUAAGGAAAAAUACCAACAUGUUACUUGGUGUAUAAAGUUAAGGGGUUUUAAAUGAUUAAUGUCACAACUAAUAUUAUGGUAUUUGAAAAUGGUUAAUUAAUACAAGCAAAAACAUAACCUGUAAAUAACUGAACUGUUCUUUUCUUGUCAUGCUCAGUCGAAGGGCUACCUGGCUGUGUUUUAAGUUGGUGAUGGAUAUUUAUUUUAGAUUAUUUCCUUUAAUAAACUAAAAUGGUAGUAUGUUUUCAUGUGUGUAUGUGAAAUUGAACAGCAUCAGAGCAAUACAAUGAAUAUGAGAUAAGCUUUUUCAUAUUUGGGAUUUUAUUGGUUUUUGAGAAUCACUACAGAGACAUUUUAAUUUGUACACUAUUCUUAACAAACCAGAAAUUAAAAAAGUGAGGGCUUGUCAUUCUUUUAAAAUCUUUUAUUUUUGAAAUAGUGUAUUUUUAAAUUUACCUCAUAAGAGCUUUAUAUUCCAUUCAAUAAAGAGUUCAUCUAUUAAGGAAGAAUAUAGGCAAGGGCAAUAAAAGUAAUCAAACAAAAAAAGUCCUAUCUUUAUGAUCAGUUAUGAACUUAAACUGAUCACUUUAACUAGUAAGAUGGCAUUAAGUGUCAAAGAGAUCACAGCACUCUGGCCUCAGAAUCAGCCCUUAAGGCAUUCGGAUUAGGCUGAAGAGCCCAUGAGAGUGUUUUUAGGCAUGGAAAGCCAAGAUACCCUGGCAAAAACAACAAACAAACAAACAAAAUAAACAAACAAAGAAAAAACAACCAAAAACAAAAAACCUAAGCGAAAGAUCUCUGGGAGUGAGAUCCCAGUGGAAAGAAUGGGCCAUCAAAGAAGGAGGUACCUUUCUCUGAAGUGAGGAGAGGACUUCCACUUUGACUAUGACCUUGUCUAAAUAAGAUCAGAGUUGGCGAACUCAAAAGGCUUCCAUAGCCUUGGCAACUCAUGAGAAGAGCCUGGGGUGAUUACUGACACCAUAAACAAGAGUGUGAAUCGUUAAGUCAACAACAGGAUUCACUGUGCACUUACUCCCCACGUAGGAUCUGUGUCCUUAAUGUGUUGUCCAAUGUGAAUUAAUGCUAUAACUAGUACUCAAACAGUAUUUCACACUUUGUGUUUCUGUGUGGGUGCAAACUGAUGAAAUCUUUACUUAAUAUAUACUAAAUCGAUCUCCUGUAUAUAAAGACAAUUGAAAAUGAAUCUUGAUGUGAAUGGAAUGGAAGAAGGAACGGGAGAUGGAAGGGUUGUGGGUGGGAGGGAAGUUAUGGGGAGGAAAAAGCCACUGUAAUCCAAAAGCUGUACUUUGGAAAUUUAUAUUUAUUAAAUAAAAGUUACCAAAAAAAGGAUCACCUAAAUAAGACCAAGCAUCUGCUGAUAGUAAUAGAUAGGAAAAAAAAAAAAAAAAGCCGGCUAAUCCUCCGCCUAGCGGCGCUGGCACACCGGGUUCUAAUCCCGGUCAGGGGCGCCGGAUUCUGUCCCGGGUGUCCCUCUUCCAGGCCGGCUCUCUGCUGUGGCCAGGGAGUGCAGUGGAGGAUGGCCCAGGUGCUUGGGCCCUGCACCCCAUGGGAGACCAGGAGCACCUGGCUCCUGCCUUCAGAUCAGCGCAGUGCGCCGGCCACAGUGCACCGGCCACGGCGGCCAUUGGAAGGUGAACCAAUGGCAAAGGAAGACCUUUCUCUCUGUCUUUCUCUCUCUCUCUCACUGUCCACUCUGCCUGUCAAAAAAAAAAAAAGUAAUAGAAUUAAAAAGGAGACAAUGAUCCAACAUGGGAAGCAAGCCACA